GACGAAGAACGCAGCGAAAUGCGAUAAGUAGUGUGAAUUGCAGAAUUCCGUGAAUCAUCUAAUCUUUGAACGCACAUUGCGCCUUCUGGUAUUCCGGAAGGCAUGCCUGUUCGAGAGUCAUUAACAACCGUUUCGAUCCCUUUCUUUCAGAAAUUACAAAGAGGAAAAGGGUUUGGUUAUGGUGGAGGAGGGAAAGGGAGCGUUUAGCCUGUAAAAAAAGAGGCUGUGUUCCGCCUCCCCCCCAAAAUUGUACAGGCGGUCGUGUGCGCCCACGCAUCGAGGUGUUGUAAAAGCUGCCACGGCACUUUUCACCUGUGCAGUGCGAGAUUGGCCAGCCGGUUUAAAAACCCCUCCAAACAAUCAAAGGUUGACCUCGGAUCAGGUAGGGAUACCCGCUGAACUUAAGCAUAUCAAUAAGCGGAGGA
rnacentral:misc_RNA from 1 species